CCUACGGGUGGCAGCAGUGAGGAAUAUUGGUCAAUGGACGGAAGUCUGAACCAGCCAUGCCGCGUGCAGGAAGACGGCUCUAUGAGUUGUAAACUGCUUUUGUACAAGGGUAAACCUGAAUACGUGUAUUCAGCUGACAGUACUGUACGAAUAAGGAUAGGCAAACUCCGCUCCAGCAGCCGCGGUAAUACGGAGGAUACAAGCGUUAUCCGGAUUUAUUGGGUUGAAAGGGUGCGUAGGCGGAUUGAUAAGUUAGAGGUGAAAUGACCGCGCUUAACUCGGGAACUGCCUGUAAUACUGUUAGUCUAGAGUGUAGAUGCGGUAGGCGGAAUGUAUGGUGUAGCGGUGAAAUGCGUAGAGAUCAUACAGAACACCGGUUGCGAAGGCAGCUUUCCAAUCUAUAUCUGACGUUGAGGCUCGAAAGCGUGGGGAGCAAACAGGAUUAGAUACCCGAGUAGUC
rnacentral:rRNA from 1 species